GCAGAAGUAACAUUCCUUUGAACACUCAGCUUUCUGAAAUGGUGUCCCACCGCAAGGACUGGAGAAGGGCACCCUUGGAAAUGCAAUGCUACAUCUCAAUGGGAUUUUCCAGUACAAAGAUUCUUUUCAAAUAACAUAAUUGUGGAUACACACCACUCCUACAGUGACACAAAGCAAAUUCGAGCGAUUUUCUUAUUUGAGUUCAAAAUGGGCUGUAAAGCAGUGGAGACAACUCGCAACAUCAACAAUCCAUUUGGCCCAGGAACUGCUAAUGAAUGUACAGUGGAGUGGUGGUUCAAGAAGUCUGGCAAAGGAGAUGAGAGCCUUGAAGAUGAGGAGUGUAGUGGCUGACCAUUGGAAAUUGACAACAACCAAUUAAGAGCGGUCAUCAAAGCUGAUCCUCUUACAAUGACACAAGAAGUUGCCAAAGAACUCAAUGUUGACCAUUCUUUGGUCAUUCAGCAUUUGAAGCAAAUUGGGAAGGUGAAAAAGCUUGAUGAGUGGGUGCCUCAUGAGCUGAGCGAAAAUUUUUUUAAAAAUCAUUGUUUUGAAGCGUUGUCUUCUCUUAUUCUACGCAACAACAGUGAACCAUUUCUCUAUCAGAUUGUGAUGUGCAAGGAAAAGUGGAUUUUAUAUGACAAUUGGUGAUGCCCAGCUCAGUGGUUGGACAGAGAAGAAACUCCAAAGCACUUCCCAAAACCAAACUUGCACCAAAAAAAGGUCAUGGUCACCAUUUGGUGGUCUGCUGCCGGUGUAAUCGACUACAGCUUUCUGAACCCCAGCAAAUCAUUACGUCUGAAAAGUAUGCUCAGCAAAUUGAUGAGAUGUACUGAAAAC
rnacentral:lncRNA from 10 species